rnacentral:rRNA from 1 species
UGGAUCCAGACUUUGAUUAUGGCUCAGGACGAACGCUGGCGGCGUGCCUAACACAUGCAAGUCGAGCGGGGAUCGCCAGAGGAAGCCUUCGGGUGGAAUUGGGUGAUUCUAGCGGCGGACGGGUGAGUAACGCGUGAGCAAUCUGCCUUUCACAGGGGGAUAACACACCGAAAGGUGUACUAAUACCGCAUGAGACCACAGUGGGGACAUCCCAUAGGGGUCAAAGGAGAAAUCCGGUGAAAGAUGAGCUCGCGUCUGAUUAGCUGGUUGGUGAGGUAACGGCCCACCAAGGCGACGAUCAGUAGCCGACCUGAGAGGGUGAUCGGCCACAUCGGAACUGAGAGACGGUCCAAACUCCUACGGGAGGCAGCAGUGGGGAAUAUUGGGCAAUGGGGGAAACCCUGACCCAGCAACGCCGCGUGAAGGAAGAAGGUUUUCGGAUCGUAAACUUCUAUCCUUGGUGAAAAUGAUGAUGGUAGCCAAGAAGGAAGCCCCGGCUAACUACGUGCCAGCAGCCGCGGUAAUACGUAGGGGGCAAGCGUUGUCCGGAAUGAUUGGGCGUAAAGGGCGCGUAGGCGGCCUUUUAAGUCUGAAGUGAAAGUCCUGCUUUUAAGGUGGGAACUGCUUUGGAUACUGGAAGGCUUGAGUGCAGGAGAGGUAAGCGGAAUUCCCGGUGUAGCGGUGAAAUGCGUAGAGAUCGGGAGGAACACCAGUGGCGAAGGCGGCUUACUGGACUGUUACUGACGCUGAGGCGCGAAAGUGUGGGGAGCAAACAGGAUUAGAUACCCUGGUAGUCCACACUGUAAACGAUGAAUGCUAGGUGUAGGGGGUAUCGACCCCUUCUGUGCCGGAGUCAACACAAUAAGCAUUCCGCCUGGGGAGUACGGCCGCAAGGUUGCAACUCAAAUGAAUUGACGGA